GUGAAACACGUACACCCUGGUGCAAGGGGGAUCGCUCCACCUAACUUGCACACCGUCAGGAGAAAUCGUGCUAUAGAUAUAGGCCGAACUAAUACAUAAUCAAUAGUUGACAGUAAUUUGGAUACAUAUUCAUUACAUUCCUGAGAGCCCAUUAGCAUGCAGUCCCUCUCCCCCUUGCGUGUGCGUAGUAGGUCGGGAUGAUGAAGGCUCGUAGUCUUCCUCGCUGCAAACUUCUGACCCCGAAGGGGGGGACAUCCUUCAAACCGGUUUCAGCUUGCCCUGUAGCCAUCUGAUCACCUCCCUGCCAAAUGUUUUCCAGCUGCUCUCCAGUCCUUAUCCUUACGGCCUUCAUCCUCCUUGUUAUUCCAGACCUAGUGUCUGUGAAAGUGCUUGGAAUCCCUUGUUUCCUAACACUCUGUACAUAAACUAUCUCUCUUGGCUCCUUAUUUCUACUUUGUGAAGCUACUUUGUCUUUUCUUGCUGUGAGGCCCUUCCCUCUAUAACUGCAGGGUCCUGUUCUCACUCUUCAAUUCCCCCGAAGAAGAGCUGCUUUAACCAUUUUAGAUUUGGUAGCCAGCUAGUAAGCAAAUCCCAUAAAUCUCCUUCCCAGUUGGUGUCUUCCUGACUUGCCCUAUGCAGGACUUUUGUCUGUUCCCAACUUUUCCUUAAAUCUGUCUCGAUUCUUAAAUCCUUCUUGAUGUAAGCACAGCAACUCUGACUUAUUAUUGUACAUACCCCUCCUUCCUUGGCUGUUAAUAGGUCUAAUGCCAUCCUAUUCUGGAGCAGCACUUUGGAUAAAGGGAAUAUUGCUUCUUGGAUUGCUCGUAAUGCACCCAUUGUGGCAUUCUCUAUGAUUUCCAGAGUUGCAGAGAUAUUUACUAUAGCUUUUCCUAGCUGGGCAACUUCUAGAGCUGGGAUAAGAGCUUUCAGGAAGCUGUGGUAUUCCUUGUUCUAUAUAGCUAGGGGGUUGUAUGUACACUUAGUUUGAAUCCAAGGGGUCCUCAGGAGUCCCCCAGGGAUCUCCUCAUGCACCGUGGUCUGGGGUAAUAAGUAUCCUGUAGUGCAAGUCCCUGUCCAAUUUAAAGGUAAUGACUUUCGUGACUGGCUGUCUCCACAUAGCCACCAGAAUCCAUGAGUUAACUUACGUGGCCUGGCCGUAUUUUCCUGAUGAGUGAAUGAUGCUCCCAUCUCUACAAUUCCGAGUACGUUCUUAUCUGAGACCCAGUGUGACUCCUUAUCGGUUCUAGGAUCACACCCCUCACCAUGGUUCCACCUUCUAGCUUCACUGAUCCCUCAUACUGCCCCAGAAUUUCCAUAUUCCCCACUACAUCCUAUACCUGUCAAGUUCCGUCAUCCAACCCCCACCCCACCUUUACCAUCAGUUUUUCUGUCUACAAAGGUAGAUCUAGUACACUUAAUAACGAGUAAAUCAAACUUAGGUCCCUUUUGUGGCUGUCUUCUAUCCCAAACUUACACUUUCCGUGCUCUACCCAAUCUGGAAUGGUCCAAUUUAGUGUCACUAUCCCAUAAAAUGGCACCUUUCCCUCCCCUCUAGGGAGGGCAGUGCAAAUCCAACAAGAUUUGUUGAGAGCCUGGCCAAUUUUCUCAGUUAUUUUUAAGUAGCUCUUCUCUUGCCAAGCUGUGGCUACUGCUCCAAUCAUACUGACUAUUAUCAAACACUUGUACAUGCUUUCGCAUCCUGAUUUUCAGUGGCCCUCUCUCUUCUGCUGUUCACUGUGGUCCUGGUGCUUUCUUCAGGCGGGUAUGAUGUAUCCACGGUGUAAGUCCCUCUACCUUGGCCGUGGUACGGGUGGUCAGGAG
ensembl:lncRNA